rnacentral:rRNA from 1 species
AGCGUAGGUGGCUUGAUAAGUCAGAUGUGAAAGCCCCGGGCUUAACCUGGGAACGGCAUCUGAUACUGUUAGGCUAGAGUAGGUGAGAGGAAGGUAGAAUUCCAGGUGUAGCGGUGAAAUGCGUAGAGAUCUGGAGGAAUACCGAUGGCGAAGGCAGCCUUCUGGCAUCAUACUGACACUGAGGUUCGAAAGCGUGGGUAGCAAACA